rnacentral:tRNA from 1 species
GCCGAGGUGGUGGAACUGGUAGACACGCUAUCUUGAGGGGGUAGUGCGUUACGCGCGUGCGGGUUCGAGUCCCGCCCUCGGCACCA